CAGCCGCCGCGGGAAUACAGAGGGUGCGAGCGUUAAUCGGAUUUACUGGGCGUAAAGCGUGCGUAGGCGGCUUCUUAAGUCGGAUGUGAAAUCCCUGAGCUUAACUUAGGAAUUGCAUUCGAUACUGGGAAGCUAGAGUAUGGGAGAGGAUGGUAGAAUUCCAGGUGUAGCGGUGAAAUGCGUAGAGAUCUGGAGGGAUACCGAUGGCGAAGGCAGCCAUCUGGCCUAAUACUGACGCUGAGGUACGAAAGCAUGGGGAGCAAACAGGAUUAGAUACCCCUGUAGUCCCUGUCUCUUAUAC
rnacentral:rRNA from 1 species